GAGAGUUCAAGAGGGCGUGAAACCGCUUGGAAGCAAACAGAUGGACCUGACGGAGAGUUGCUGGGAUUCAGCCCACUACGUCACCUCAGCCUGCCGCCUGAUCGAUCCACGGGUUGGUGGGUGUUGGUGUGGCAAGUGGGUGCAUUUCCUGGUGAUGCGCAUCAGAGCCUGUGUCAGUGCUGGAUGUAAGGAGGCACUUGCCGGCCAACCUAGUUGGUGUCCCAGUGUCUCGUGAAACCGGGUCAUUGGCACAGGGCAGUGACAGACGCCCGCCUCUACUCCUGUGAGCUUGUUUGCUUGUGCAGUUGGACUGCAGUCUCAUGCUUGCAUGAUUCAGCGACCCCUGUUCACUCGUGACCUGAUCAUUCUGGAGUUGGUGUCUUCCUCUGGUGUUUUAGUCAGUCACCCAUCUGACCCGUCUUGAAACACGGACCAAGGAGUCUAACAUGUGCGCGAGUCACUGGGUUGCAACACCCAAAGGCGCAAUGAAAGUAAAGUCUGGUUUGGCUGGACGACAUGGGACCCUUUGCUUCGGCAGAGGAGCACCAUGGUCCCGUCCGAACUGCAUUGUCAGUUGGGCGGAGAUAGAGCGUACACGUUGGGACCCGAAAGAUGGUGAACUAUGCCUGAGCAGGAUGAAGCC
rnacentral:rRNA from 1 species